UUGGAGGGCAAGUCUGGUGCCAGCAGCCGCGGUAAUUCCAGCUCCAAUAGCGUAUAUUAAAGUUGUUGCAGUUAAAAAGCUCGUAGUUGAAUUUCGGGAUCAAUGUUUCGGUCAUGCCGUUGGUAUGUACUGAUAUUAUUGAUUUCUCACCUUCUAAAGAACCGUAAUGCCAUUAAUUUGGUGUCACGGGGAAUUAGGACUGUUACCUUGAAAAAAUUAGAGUGUUUAAAGCAGGCUUACGCUUGAAUACAUUAGCAUGGAAUAAUGAAAUAGGACAUCCGAUUCUAUUUUGUUGGUUUCUAGGAUCGAUGUAAUGAUUAAUAGGGAUAGUUGGGGGCAUUAGUAUUCAAUCGUCAGAGGUGAAAUUCUUGGAUUUAUUGAAGACUAACUACUGCGAAAGCAUUUGCCAAGGAUGUUUUCAUUAAUCAAGAACGAAAGUUAGGGGAUCGAAGACGAUCAGAUACCGUCGUAGUCUUAACCAUAAACUAUGCCGACUAGGGAUCGGAUGAUGUUAAUUUUUUAAUGACUCAUUCGGCACCUUACGGGAAACCAAAG
rnacentral:rRNA from 1 species